AGCCUGCUUACCCUGCCUCACCUGUUCUUUCCUGCAGAAACCACAACAAAGACUCUUGUUCAUAUAUUCCCCUGUGCCUCUUGACCAACCCUGGUGCUUCUCCAUGUAGCCCUUCAUGGUGUGCUGUGCCUCCUAUUUCUAGGGAUCUAUGAGAAUAAAGACUUAUAUCUGCAUGACAGUCAUUUCUGUGUCUGUGUAUCUUACCACAUCUCAGAAGAACAUAUCCCAGAUACCCUUAAAAAAGGUUCCUAGAAGGAAAACCCAAGGAAGUGGAGACCCUUCUGAGACUGUGACCCACUGGAGUUUCUCUCUCUCUCAAAUGAGUCUAUACUAAGCCUCCAGCAUUUCACCAAAGUGACCAUUUAAGACCUCCAAUCUCUUUAGGGCUCUAGCAGUGUCUUCUGCUCCAGGUAAGCAGGUUUUGGUGUUUUGGGAUGCACAUGUCUCUUCCAGAUUUCCUGGUGGUUUUUUUUUGGAUGCACCUGUCUCUUCCAGAUUUCUUGGUGGCAAUCUGGCCUAAGACUUCCAUCUUCUGAUAGUCUAGGAAGAAUCACUGAUUCUUAAUUAGUCCAGCUUUUUUUAUUCUAAGAAUAAAAGCAAUGACACCUAUUUUAAGUUCUUUACUUGUUGGAGCUGAAACUGGAAGAUGGUGUUUCUUUUCUUUCAUGCUUAUGUGGUAUCUAUCCUAUUAGAUAUGGCCAAGAAACAUGUGUCAGAUGAAUGAAUAAGUUAAUGAGAAAUCAGAUGUGAUCACUCUAUAGCAGAUGGCCCAUAAGCCUUUGUCAAGUGAAAGAACAAAGGAAUGAUCCAUAUGGGAUUAUCUUAAAAUAGAUGGUCCGUAACCAUGUCAUGCUUAUGAUUUAUGAAUGAAUGAAUGAUUCAGAUGUGAUUAUCUGGUCCAUAAACCUUUGUCAGAUGAAUAAUGAAUGAGUGAGUGUGUGAGAUAUGAUUACAAGUUUUUCCAGACAGGCACCCACAUUGUUCAUCUCAAAUCUAAGGCAGCCAAGAUGCUCCAAGGUCUCAAAUCCAGUCCAUCUUACUUCACUCCAAAUCACCUAGCAUUCCCUGACACACAGUGCUCACCCUUUCCAUAUUUUUUCCCCAGGAGCUCUGAAACAGUCCUAAACUACUUCUGCCUCAAAUGAUUAGGUCUCUGCUUUUUCACACAGGUCUGGAAUGCAGAAGGAAAAAAAAAAAAACACUUAGUUUUCCUAUUCCCCAAAUAUCAUACACAUAAUCUCAUCCCAAAUUAUGGAGAUGUUGUGGACCUUAUCAUCUUAAUCAUUCUUAAUCAAUCAAUCACCUUAUCAUUCUUUUCCUUAGGCACAACCUUUAACAAAAUUUGAGGUCUAAACCGAUGAAACAACAACUGCAAACUUUAGAGCCUUGUGCUUUGAAGGCAAUGCUCACUGUUCUCUUUUACCUGAAUAACAAGGUCCAACUGCACUGUCCAUGCUUUAUUUUAGGCAGACAGAACUCUCUUGUAGAGUUUCAAGGAGCCUGGGUACAUGGGGCAGAGAGGUGGUCUGUGACAGGGUCACAAGUCCCAGCUCAAGGCAGAGUCCCUGGGGUCACACACUGGCUCUGCUGCUUCUAGCCACAGAGCUGAGCCUCAGUUUCCUCAUCUAUGAAACAGGCUCAUGUUGAAAAUCCACCUCCAAGAGUGAUGAGGGGAUUCCAUUGAUAGUCCAUGUGAAGUGCUCACAGCCUGUGGCCUGGCACCUGGUAAAUGCCCCAAGUUGACACUCAAUGAGGGUGAGUGUCCUAGUGGCAGGGACGGUGACAACUCAGGGCACACGCUCACUACUUGCUGGAAAGGACUCCUUAUGCAGAUUUUCUCAUCCAUUCACUCCUAGGAUGAUGUGUUCACACCAGCCUCUUUGGUUUUGCUGCACAGGACAACACCAUAUUUAUAAGCAGUCUCCUAAUGUUGAUUGCGGUAGGUGGGAUAACUCUAUUAUUAUUAUCAUGUCUUUUUUUUUUUUUUUUUUUAGAGAGAGGAAUAUUGAAGUGUUUAGGGGUGGAAUUUUAUAAUAUCCAUCGUUACUUGGAAUGAACUUCAGGAAAAAAAAAAAUACAACAAAAUAUUACCACAACAGGCAUUCCCAUCAUGGCUUGGUGGUAACAAAUCUGACCAGUUCUAUGAGGACACAGGUUCGAUCCCUGGCCUUGCUCAAUUGGGUCAAGGAUCCGGCAUUGCUGUGAGCUGUGGUGUAGGUCACAGACAUGGCUUGUACCCGGUGCUGCUGUGGCAGUGGUGUAGACCAGCAGCUGUAGCUCUGAUUCAACCCCUAGCCUGGGAGUGUCCACAUGCUGUGGGUGUAUCCCUAAAAAGACAAAAAAAAAAAAAAAGAACAUAAUUUUUUCAAGCAAAAAUAUUGUAAAGUGAGCAGAAAACUCACUCUCCAUAAUGUGGUCUUUUAAAGACACAUCUGAAGCAUGCCCCCCACCAGCCACUACUUUGCCUGAAUGAUACCCAGGAGUGUACAUAGACACAUCUCUGUAGUACAGAGCAACAAUAAUCACUAAAGACGCUCUGUGCUUUAUGGACCUUAUUGGGAAAACUGGACCCAAACACCCUCCUAGCAUAUAAAGUGGUGGAGAGGAUCAAAGAAUAAGGUACAACUUUAAAAACCUUGAGCUUUCAACCAAAAAUUCUCUAUUACGAUAUUAUUCUAUUCACAGAAACCUCCAACCACUAAAAUGACCAACACCUUACCCUCCAAGGAACUUAUGUUCUUUAUCACAACUGAUUGGGGUCAGCAUUUCCCACCCAAGGCACAGGCUCUGUCCAACCUUAGGACGUCCUUCUCUUCUCAUGGGCUGCAUGGUGCCCGGCUAUUUAGGCAGCACUGCUUCUGCUCAUGCUAAUUAGCAUUUUACUUUACAAAUUGCAUCUGGACUGGAGAAACUACAAAUAGGUAAUAAAAACCAAAGCUUUGGGCCUAUCUCUGGUGGGAUCUUGAAGUUCAGCCUUGAGUGUUGUUCAAAGAGAUAACUGGUUCCCUGGGCACGCUCUGAGGGUGGACUGUCUCUUUGCAUCUGAGCUAUGUGAUGCAGUAAAGACCCCACUGCAGGAAAACACCCGUGAUUGCCCUGCUGGGCAGAGGGGUGUCUGCCCAACAGGGUUCUAAGUCAGCCUGUGCCAAAUAUGACUUGUGAUGGCCAUUCUGAGUCACAAGGACCUUCUGAUGGGGGCGUAUUACAGUAUAUCAUUACCAGCCUCCAGCUGUGCAGCUGGAAGGGCUCCUGCCAUGAAGUCAGCCCCUGGAUAUGGGAAACAUAUGUACUCAAAAAUAUCAGCCAGGAAAAACUACUCUUUUCCCUGAUCUGAGAAUCAGAUUCUUGUUUUGCGAACUCACCGGGUUUCCUUUCUAUUUUGUUUUCUUGUUACAGCUGCACCUGCAGCAGAUGGAAGUUCCUGGGCUAGGAGUCAAAUUAGAGCUGCAGGGCUACACCCCAACCAUGGCAACACCAGAUCCUUAACCCACUGAGUGAGGCCAGGGAUCAAACCCAUGUCUUCACGGACACUAUGUUGGGUCUUUAACCCGCUGAGCCACAAUGGGAUCUCCUGCCAAAUUUAAAGAGAAAUCAAGUUGAUGAAGUGUCAGGACUUUCAAUCCUGAUGGUGGAGCUCUGACCUCUGAACCUGUUCACCGGUACC
rnacentral:lncRNA from 1 species